rnacentral:rRNA from 1 species
CAGAUAGAGUUUGAUCCUGGCUCAGGACGAACGCUGGCGGCGUGCCUAACACAUGCAAGUCGAGCGGAGAAUGCAAGAUGUUUACAUUAAGUAUUCUUAGCGGCGGACGGGUGAGUAACACGUGGGUAACCUGCCUCAGAGUGGGGGAUAGCCUUUCGAAAGGAAGAUUAAUACCGCAUAAGCUUGUAGCAUUGCAUGGUGCAGCAAGAAAAGGAGCAAUCCGCUCUGAGAUGGACCCGCGGCGCAUUAGCUAGUUGGUGAGGUAACGGCUCACCAAGGCCACGAUGCGUAGCCGACCUGAGAGGGUGAUCGGCCACAUUGGAACUGAGACACGGUCCAGACUCCUACGGGAGGCAGCAGUGGGGAAUAUUGCACAAUGGGCGAAAGCCUGAUGCAGCAACGCCGCGUGAGUGAUGAAGGCCUUCGGGUCGUAAAGCUCUUUGAUCAGGGAUGAUAAUGACAGUACCUGAAAAACAAGCCACGGCUAACUACGUGCCAGCAGCCGCGGUAAUACGUAGGUGGCGAGCGUUGUCCGGAAUUACUGGGCGUAAAGGAUGCGUAGGUGGAUAUUUAAGUGGGAUGUGAAAUCCCCGGGCUCAACCCGGGAACUGCAUUCCAAACUGGAUAUCUAGAGUGCAGGAGAGGAAAGCGGAAUUCCUAGUGUAGCGGUGAAAUGCGUAGAUAUUAGGAGGAACACCAGUGGCGAAGGCGGCUUUCUGGACUGUAACUGACACUGAGGCAUGAAAGCGUGGGUAGCAAACAGGAUUAGAUACCCUGGUAGUCCACGCCGUAAACGAUGGGUACUAGGUGUAGGAGGUAUCGACCCCUUCUGUGCCGUCGUUAACACAAUAAGUACCCCGCCUGGGGAGUACGGUCGCAAGACUAAAACUCAAAGGAAUUGACGGGGGCCCGCACAAGCAGCGGAGCAUGUGGUUUAAUUCGAAGCAACGCGAAGAACCUUACCUAGACUUGACAUCUCCUGAAUUACCCUUAACCGGGGAAGCCCUUCGGGGCAGGAAGACAGGUGGUGCAUGGUUGUCGUCAGCUCGUGUCGUGAGAUGUUGGGUUAAGUCCCGCAACGAGCGCAACCCUUAUUUUUAGUUGCUACCAUUUGGUUGAGCACUCUAAAGAGACUG